rnacentral:rRNA from 1 species
AGUCGAGGGGCAGCAUGAUAAGUAGCAAUACUUAUUGAUGGCGACCGGCGCACGGGUGAGUAACGCGUAUGCAACUUACCUAUCAGAGGGGGAUAGCCCGGCGAAAGUCGGAUUAAUACUCCAUAAAACAGGGGUUCCGCAUGGGACUAUUUGUUAAAGAUUCAUCGCUGAUAGAUAGGCAUGCGUUCCAUUAGGCAGUUGGCGGGGUAACGGCCCACCAAACCGACGAUGGAUAGGGGUUCUGAGAGGAAGGUCCCCCACAUUGGUACUGAGACACGGACCAAACUCCUACGGGAGGCAGCAGUGAGGAAUAUUGGUCAAUGGCCGAGAGGCUGAACCAGCCAAGUCGCGUGAAGGAUGAAGGAUCUAUGGUUUGUAAACUUCUUUUAUAGGGGAAUAAAGUGUGGGACGUGUCCCAUUUUGUAUGUACCCUAUGAAUAAGCAUCGGCUAACUCCGUGCCAGCAGCCGCGGUAAUACGGAGGAUGCGAGCGUUAUCCGGAUUUAUUGGGUUUAAAGGGUGCGUAGGUGGUAAUUUAAGUCAGCGGUGAAAGUUUGUGGCUCAACCAUAAAAUUGCCGUUGAAACUGGG